AAAUUGAAGAGUUUGAUCAUGGCUCAGAUUGAACGCUGGCGGCAGGCCUAACACAUGCAAGUCGAGCGGAAACGAGUUAUCAGAACCUUCGGGGAACGAUAACGGCGUCGAGCGGCGGACGGGUGAGUAAUGCCUAGGAAAUUGCCCUGAUGUGGGGGAUAACCAUUGGAAACGAUGGCUAAUACCGCAUGAUGCCUACGGGCCAAAGAGGGGGACCUUCGG
rnacentral:rRNA from 1 species